UCCAACACGGUCUUGAACUUGUGAGAAAGGGCUGAUCUGGCAAGUUAGCAAAUGGCAACGACGAAAAAUAUUCGCAUCUCGCGAGAUAGAUGGCUUCCGAGGGAGCAUGAUUGGAAGCCCAUCACAUCACAUGGUACCUGCAGACUGCGCCUUGCGGCGGACUAUCUGGACGAGCGUGGUUCCAGGCGGAUGCAUGGACCCCCUACGACAACACUUUUUUCCGGUUGACUUCAACACCAUCACCAGUAUCUAGACGUCCCUGCCUGUCCUCGAUGAUAUCCUCGCAUGGGCUCUGGAAAAGAACGACAUGUGUACCAUUUGAUCGGCUUACAGCCUAAUUAACCAUGGACGAGCUCGGGCUUCCAUCGGUAUGUGCUGCGAGCAUAGCACCGGAUGGUCGUUGCGCCACCUGGAAGACUAUAUGGGGCGCCCCUGCCCCCCUAAGCCCAUUAAUAUUUGCCCCCUGUGCGGAAUGGAACGCAAGGGCGACUUCCAUGCUACGUUUAGGUGCUCUUGAGUGGUGGACUUGUGGCGUGCCAUUGAGAUGGAUUGGUCAGUGCUAGAUGUCAGUUUUGUUCACAACACAAGGCCGAAAUGGUUGUUCGAGGUUCUGGAGCCGCUCUCGGACAUUUAGCGUAUGGUGCUGAUCAUGACCAUGUGGCGCUCAUGGCAUGUCAUGAACGAUAUUACACACGAUAAGGAAG